rnacentral:sRNA from 1 species
GCAAGAGACAGCACCAUCUGCAGCUGGAAGAUUAUUUAUUAACAAGUCUUACUAGCAUAGUACUGUACUGUUAAGUCUUAUGCAGGCGAUGAGUUUAAAUACAUACUUUUAUUUACAUAUUAAAUUAUAGAAUACUGAUUCCAGUAUGACUGAACUCUAAGGAUUCUCUUCACACAGGUAUCUACAGGAGGUGGGUUAUACAGAUACUAUUCUUGAUGUGAAAUCUAAACGAGUGCGAGCUUUGUUGGGCUUUUCAAGUGAUGUCACGGACAGGGAAGAUGACAAAAAUCAGGACUCAGUUGUAAAUGGCACAGAGGCUGAAGUUAAAGAGACAGCAAUGAUUGGAAAAUCUGAGUUAACAGAUUCUGCCUCCGUGCUGGAUAAUUUCAAAUUCCUUGAAAGUGCAGCUGCAGAUUUCAGUGAUGAAGAUGAAGAUGAUGACGUUGAUGGAAGAGAGAAAAGCGUCAUUGAUACUUCAACAAUUGUUAGGAAAAAAGCGUUGCCUGACAGCGGUGAAGAUCGAGAUACAAAAGAAGCUCUCAAGGAGUUUGACUUCUUGGUUACAUCAGAGGAAGGAGACAAUGAAUCUAGAAGUGCAGGUGAUGGAACAGACUGGGAAAAGGAAGACCAGUGUCUCAUGCCUGAAGCCUGGAAUGUGGACCAGGGAGUAAUUACCAAACUCAAGGAACAAUACAAAAAGGAGAGAAAGGGGAAAAAGGGGGUGAAGAGUCAAAACUACAAGAUAUGCUUGCUAAUUUGAGAGAUGUUGAUGAACUUCCUUCAUUGCAGCCAUCUGUGGGUUCACCUUCCAGACCCAGCAGCUCCAGGCUUCCUGAACAUGAAAUUAAUAGGGCAGAUGAAGUGGAAGCAUUGACAUUUCCUCCUUCUUCUGGAAAGUCAUUCAUCAUGGGAGCAGAUGAAGCCCUUGAAAGUGAACUGGGACUUGGAGAACUAGCAGGCCUUACGGUGGCCAAUGAAGCAGACUCACUAACUUACGAUAUAGCAAACAAUAAAGAUGCAUUGAGG